rnacentral:lncRNA from 1 species
CCUGGCAGGGAGAGACCGGUCCCCGAGGCUGGUGGUUGUUGGGGAUCUUUGAUGCAAUUGGUCCCUGGCUGAGAGGAUCGGUCCCCGUGUGCGACGCCAGCAAGAGAAGGCCAAAAUCGGCUAAGUCCUGAAAAUCGAGCUCUCGGGGACCGGUCUCUCAAGCGAGGGCCGGUCUCCCGAGGACCGGUCUCCCAGGGAGAGACCGGUUCCCGAAUGCGAAGAGGCCUUCUGGCCGCCAGGACUGCUCUCGGGGACCGGUCUCCCCGACGAGGGACCGGUCCCUCUGGGCGCAGAAUGCCCAGUGAGGGCUGUGUGCAGGGUGAAAAGUUGAUAGUAAACCUUUACUAUAUGACGCAUGCAUUCAUUAUACAUGAUUAUGGGUACAGUAGCAUAAUUUUCCUUUAUACCUUUACAGCUUUCAG